AGAUUGAGAGGCUAGGAGGAAUUAAAUUUGCAGCAACCCAUUGGUUCUUUUCGGCUGAGUACAAUUCUUAUUAUAAGAGUGGAUAAAAAUAUUGAGGGCCAUUUGUGGAUAAAUGCAAAAGCUACAGAGAAGAGAUGUCCAAUAACUAAUUAAUGAAUACUUGGAGAGAGAGAAUUUUUCACUCACUCAGUUUACUACAGUUGUACCUGUAAUAUUCCACUUGGUGCCAGGCUCUAUAGAAACCAUCAAGAGACUGUUCCCCUUGACGAAUAUAUGUGGUUUUACUGAUAUACACUCCUAUAAAAAAACAAAACAAAACACAUUUUUUAAACAAAUAAGAAUAAAUUUAAACAUUUU